rnacentral:lncRNA from 1 species
AUACUGCAGUGGUGGUUAACCUUCACUUUCAUCAGACUUCCAUCAUUAAUAUUAAUUCUUGACCUCUCAAAUCAAGAAGAUUCCCAACCUGAAAGUGACAUAGUAAGUAUACUAGACUUCCAGUAGAUAGAAAGAGCAGCCUUGGAGGAUUAGAUUAGGAGAUGCUCCAGGCAUCAUCAUGCCAUGAUCUUGAAAUAGCAGGCAUAGCUGGGUGUCUACAGAACUAGGCUUAGGGCAUCAGUCAAAUGCCUGUUUCUUACAAGGAUCAUGUGCCCUACAACCAAUUUUUCUGCUCCUUGAGACCCACUCUCAUGCAAUUUGGGUAUUAAUGUCUGCAGGCUUCACUCUCUGUUCUUUUUUUGCAGGUCCAAGCAUCUUGGCUUUUCAGGCCUAAGAUCAUGCUAGAUCAUGCAGACAUUAUCAGCACAGGAUUUGGACGCCUUUGGGGUUGCUGAGUAACCAGAAAUUCCAGGAAUUUGUGGAAGGGAUGUACAAACAACAAAACAAUGAGCUCACGAGCACAAGCCCCUACUGCUCUAUACAAGAUACUACUGAGAAGAAUCUGACUCCUUCCCACCCAGUAGUUGUAUACAUUGAUAAGAAGAUCAUCCUGAGCCUUCUCUUAUCCAGGCUGAAGAGUCCCAGAUUCUCCACAUACAGAAGAUGCUGCAGCAACACACGCAGAGCUCCCACUUCAACAAGAGCUAUGGGCUUUGGCUCUCUCCCAGGCCUAUGAUUAACCCUAAUCCAAUCCCAAUCCUAGACCUAACACCUUAAAUCUAGACCUUCAGCUGGCCUUAAAGCUAGACCUUCAGCUGGCCAAGCCUUACUAGGUAACCCAACAUUGGCCCAAAUGAAAAAAAUAACAGGCAGACAACUCUUAUUGCUGCCUCCCUCUUCCACUGGCAGCUUUUUUGCAGCUCCUCUCCAAUGGCAGGUCUACUCUUUGUCUCUCUCUCAGCCAUAGCCAUAGACUCUGGCCUUCACUAAGCACUGUAAUUUGUUCACCCAAAGCCCAAGUGCAAAAGCUCAUGAGGGAGAACGAUUUUUGCUGCCAAAAACAGUGACUUAGUGCAAAGGACCCAAAAGACUUCUCCCUGUGAACUUUUUAAAAAGCACCAAGACAGAAGUUCUUGAUAAGGAUGAAAGUAAAGGUUGGGAAAUUAAAAGCGCAGAGAUACUGUUGCAGUGGGCCUGCAUAGAAGCUGCCAAUGGAAGAGGAAGGCUGAAUAAAUAAAUAAAUAAAUAAAUAAAUAAAUAAAUAAAUAAAUAAAUAAAUAAAUAAAUAAAGUUCUUCCCAAUUAACUUUUUCACCUGAGCUGCAUAUAAUGGGGUUUUGGUUUAAGCCUCAGUUAAGGACAAAGUCUAGAAUUCAGGUUAGGGUUAAGUUUGGGAUAGAAAGAAAGGAUAGGUUUAUUAUUAUUAUUUUAUUUUUAUUUGUUUAUUUAUUUUUUUAUUUUUACUCUAGGAUAGGAUAUAGGCUUAGCCUAAAACUGUUGUCUCAGUGGAGUUGCUUAGAGGAUGCCAGUGGAAGCUGUAAACCAUAAAAAUAUUCUUUUUCUCCAAGAACUACUUGUCCAAGUUCUUGUACAGUAGUCUGGGCCAAAGGCUAAGCCAAGUCCAAGGUUUAGGGCCAGGUUAGGUGCAGGGCUGAGAAAGAGACAAAGCACAGAUUAUUGGAGUAAGGAUGCAAUGGAGCAGCCAAGAAAGAUGUAGGCAGCAGAAGACCCUCACCCUAGGUCUUAGCUUCUAUUGAGCUUCACACAGAGCUUCC